GACGAACGCUGGCGGCGUGCUUAACACAUGCAAGUCGAACGGAAAGGCCCUGCUUUUGUGGGGUGCUCGAGUGGCGAACGGGUGAGUAACACGUGAGUAACCUGCCCUUGACUUUGGGAUAACUUCAGGAAACUGGGGCUAAUACCGGAUAGGAGCUCCUGCUGCAUGGUGGGGGUUGGAAAGUUUCGGCGGUUGGGGAUGGACUCGCGGCUUAUCAGCUUGUUGGUGGGGUAGUGGCUUACCAAGGGUUUGACGGGUAGCCGGCCUGGGAGGGUGACCGGGCACAUUGGGACUGAGAUACGGACCAGACUGCUACGGGAGGCAGCAGUGGGGAAUAUUGCACAAUGGGCGGAAGCCUGAUGCAGCAACGCCGCGUGCGGGAUGACGGCCUUCGGGUUGUAAACCGCUUUCGCCUGUGACGAAGCGUGAGUGACGGUAAUUGGUAAAGAAGCACCGGCUAACUACGUG
rnacentral:rRNA from 1 species